rnacentral:rRNA from 1 species
UUAUUUUCUAUUUUAGUUAAAUUAUUAUUUUAAUUUUAUUAUUUAUAAAGGAAAAAUUAAUUUUAUUAUAGUUUAUUAUUAUUGUGAUAAAAUUUUAUUAAUUAAUAAAAAGGAAAAUUCAUUUUUUGUACCUUGUGUAUCAGGGUUUAUUAAAAUAUAAAAUUUAUUUUUUUUUCCCGAAUCUAUAGGAGCUACAAUUUAUAUUUUUUUAUUGUUGAAUAAAUAUAAUUAAUAUAAUUGUUGAAAUGAAAUGUUAUUCGUCUUUAGAUUUAUUUGGUUUUUUAAGAAAUAAAUUUAAUUUAUUGAUUUUUAAUAAAAUAUUUAUUAAUAAUUUUUUAUUAAAAAUUUCUUAUUUUUUAGGGGAAAAGCUUUAGAAAAUAAAAUUAUUAAUUUAUUAAUAAUAUACUUUAAUUAAAGAAUAAAAUUUUUUUUGUUUGUUGUAUGUUGUGAUUAAGAGGUUAAUUUUUAUAAUUUUUAUUUUUAUAAUUUUUUUAUUAAAAUAUAAAUUUUAAUUUUAUUUAUUUAGUAAUAAUGUUAAAAUUAGUAAAUUUUGUUUUAUUUAUAUAAAAAUUUGUUAAUUUAUAAAAAGGAAUUAGGCAAAAAAAUUUUCCACCUGUUUAUUAAAAACAUGUCCUAUUUGAAAAAGAUUUUAGGUCUGACCUGCCCAUUGAUAAAAAUUUAACGGCCGCAGUAAUUUGACUGUGCUAAGGUAGCAUAAUCAUUAGUUUUUUAAUUAAAAACUGGAAUGAAAGGUUGAAUGAGAAAAUUACUGUCUCUUUAUAAAUAUUUGAAUUUAACUUUUAAGUUAAAAGGCUUAAAUAACGUUAAAAGACGAGAAGACCCUUUAGAGUUUUAUAUAAAUUUGAUUAUAAUUAUUUGGUAUAAAUAUUUUUAUUUGAAUUUUUAUUUGGUUGGGGUGAUUAUUAAAUUAAAUUAACUUUAAUUAUUUUUUAACAAUAAUUUUUGAUUUUUUGAUCCAUUAAUUUUGAUUAUUAGAUUAAAUUACCUAAGGGAUAACAGCGUAAUUUUUUUAGAGAGUUCAAAUCGAUAAAAAAGAUUGCGACCUCGAUGUUGGAUUAAAAUGAGUAAUUAGGUGAAGUAGCUAAUUAACUUGGUCUGUUCGACCAUUAAAAUUUUACAUGAUCUGAGUUUAAACCGGCGUGAGCCAGGUUGGUUUCUAUCUUUAAUGAAUUUUUGAAUUUUAGUACGAAAGGACCAAGUUUUAUUUAAAUUAAUUUUUAUUUGAUUAUA